UGGCGAAUGGGUGAGUAACACGUACUCAACGUACCUCUUAGAUUGGGAUAGCAGUUGGAAACAACUAUUAAUAACAAAUACGUAUAAUUUUCGCAUGAAGAUUAUAUAAAAGUAGCGUUUGCUACACUAAGAGAGCGGGGUGCGUAACAUUAGUUAGUUGGUGAGGUAAUGGCUCACCAAGACGAUGAUGUUUAGCGGGGUUGAGAGACUGAACCGCCACACUGGGACUGAGAUACGGCCCAGACUCCUACGGGAGGCAGCAGUAGGGAAUAUUCCACAAUGAACGAAAGUUUGAUGGAGCGACACAGCGUGCAGGAUGAAGGCCCUAUGGGUUGUAAACUGCUGUGGUAAGAGAAGAAAAAACCGAGGAGGAAAUGCCUUGGUCUUGACGGUAUCUUAUUAGAAAGCAACGGCUAA
rnacentral:rRNA from 2 species